rnacentral:rRNA from 1 species
UACAGAGGUCCCAAGCGUUGUUCGGAUUCACUGGGCGUAAAGGGUGCGUAGGCGGUCGGGUAAGUCUGGCGUGAAAUCUCCAAGCCUAACUUGGAAACUGCGUUGGAUACUAUCCGGCUCGAGGAAUGGAGGGGAGACUGGAAUACUUGGUGUAGCGGUGAAAUGCGCAGAUAUCAGGAGGAACACCGGUGGCGAAGGCGGGUCUCUGGGCCAAUACUGACGCUGAGGAGCGAAAGCGUGGGGAGCGAACAGG